CCAAAAUAGCGGGUUUUUCAUUUCCAACGGACUUGGUUGAAGGCAGUUCAGUGCAAGUGCUUUGUGGCAUCACCUCUGGAGACAAGCCAGUUUAUUUUUCUUGGCUCAAAGACGGACAACACAUCCCGAGCAAUCUACAGGUGCAAGAAAAAUCAUUGGAUGAAUUCAGCUUCCUGAUAUUUUCCCACGUGACGUCAAAACACAGUGGGGAAUACACUUGUGUAGCCACCAACUCCGCCGCUGAAGUCAACCACACUGCCAGGUUAGCAGUUAAAGUGGCCCCUACGUGGGUGUACGAGCCGCAAGACGUGUCAGCUCUCCUGGGCACGCAGAUAUUGGCCAACUGUGCAACCAAAGGUUAUCCUGAACCUAGGAUUGCGUGGCUGAAGGCGCACGGGUCGGGGCCAGGCGACUUCCGGCCGGUGUCGACGCUCGAGCUGCAGUUCUCGGUGCUGGCAAACGGGUCGCUGCGCAUCGCGCCGGCCGCGCCGCCGCACGCCGGCCGCUACAUGUGCCGCGCC